AUUGAACGCUGGCGGCAGGCCUAACACAUGCAAGUCGAGCGGAUGAAGGGAGCUUGCUCCUGGAUUCAGCGGCGGACAGGGGAGUAAUGCCUAGGAAUCUGCCUGGUAGUGGGGGAUAACGUCCGGAAACGGGCGCUAAUACCGCAUACGUGCUGAGGGAGAAAGUGGGGGAUCUUCGGACCUCACGCUAUCAGAUGAGCCUAGGUCGGAUUAGCUAGUUGGUGGGGUAAAGGCCUACCAAGGCGACGAUCCGUAACUGGUCUGAGAGGAUGAUCAGUCACAAUGGAACUGAGACACGGUCCAGACUCCUACGGGAGGCAGCAGUGGGGAAUAUUGGACAAUGGGCGAAAGCCUGAUCCAGCCAUGCCGCGUGUGUGAAGAAGGUCUUCGGAUUGUAAAGCACUUUAAGUUGGGAGGAAGGGCAGUAAGUUAAUACCUUGCUGUUUUGACGUUACCAACAGAAUAAGCACCGGCUAACUUCGUG
rnacentral:rRNA from 1 species